rnacentral:miRNA from 1 species
CCUGGAACUCACUCUGUAGACCAGGCUGGCCUCAAACUCACAGAGAUCCCCCUGCCUCUGCCUCCUGAGUGCUGGGAU